rnacentral:rRNA from 1 species
GACGAACGCUGGCGGCGUGCUUAACACAUGCAAGUCGAACGGACAGACCCUGCUUUUGCGGCGUGCUCGAUUGGCGAACGCGUGAGUAACACGUGAGUAUCCUGCCCUUGACAUUCGGAGAACUUCACGAAACUGCGGCUAUUAUACGAUAGGAGCUCCUGCUCCACGGUGGGGAUUGGUAAAUUUCGGCUGUGGGGGAUGGUCUCGCGGCUUACCGGCUUGUUGGUGAGGUAGUUGCUUACCAAGCCUUAGAGGGGUAGCCGGCCUUAGAGGGUUACCGGGCUCAUUGCGACUGAGGUAAGGCCCAGACUCCUACGGGGGGCAGUAGGGGGGAAUAUUACACAGUGGGCGCGAGCGUGAUACGACAACGCUGCGUGCGUGAUGAUGUGCUACUGGUUGUGAACCGAUUUGUCCUGUACCGAAGCGUGAGUGACGGUAAUGGGUAAGAAAGCACCGGCUAACUACGUG